CACAUUAAAUUUUGUACACUAGUUUCAAAUAACACAAGGUACUUAUUCCAAGUUCUGGAACAACAAUCUAGACCUGGUAACAUUGAAUUCAACAUAUCGCGAUUCACAGUGCCCAAACAAUAAAUUUGCUCUUUGCUAACGCGACUCAAAGCCUGCGAUCGCAAUGCACACCCCUAUGGCCAAAAACUAGAAACUAAAAAUGGCCUAGAAAUGGUCUGAAACUACCCCGAAACUCAUCCGAGUCAAUGGGAACCCCGUCCGAACAUACCAACUUGUCCAAGUUUAGCCAAUUAGUGCUGAAACCUUCUAAAAAUAUUCAAAUACAAAUCCGGGUAUACGCCCAAGUCCACAAUCACCAUUCGGACCUAACGGAACCAUUAAAACUCCAAUCUGAGGUCAAAUACUAAAAAGUCAAACUUGGUCAACUCUUCGUAGUUGAGAAUUAUUCUUCCAAAUCAAUUCCGAGUCACCUGAAAACCAAAACCGGCGAUUCACAUAAGUCAUAAUAUAUCAUACGAAGAUACCCAAGACUUCAAUAGAUGAACAGAAUGCAAAUGCUCAAAAUGACUGAUCGGGUCGUUACAUAUUUCAUCCAUUUUCCUCCAAUACGAUGUGUGACAUCCUUGUCAAUAUCACCAUUACCUUGAUUAAUAGAUCUGAGUUGCUUGAAACUCCCCUUAUUAGGGAUGACUUGUGAAUCUAGCCUCACUUUGAUGUCUGUAUCAUGACACAUUGCUGAACUUGCAUUCCAAAUACUUAGUUUUAGUCCUGCUCAUCUUAACCCUUUUGACUCCAGAGUUUGUCUUCAAACCUCUACCCUCGCAUUAACACCACCUCGCAUCUCUUCAAUUAGUAAUAACAUGCACCAUGGAACCUCCUCUUGAGUGUGCUGUGUCAGAACAUCCAUCGCCGGGUCAAAUAAAAAUGGGCUAACCACGGAUCCCUGAUGCAAGCCCAUCCCGACAUGGAAGUGCUCCGAGUCUCCUCCCACCGUCCUAACCCGGGUCUUAACGCCAUCAUACAUAUCCUGGAUCACCCUAGUAUAAGCUACAGGCACACCUCUAACCUCUAAAAACUACCAAAUACUCUAGUGCAAAUUAUUUUAGGAGAAAAAUAUUUUUGAUAACUUUUAACUAACUGAAUAAUCAAGAAAAUCUCUUGAAUUCUUAUAAGAUCUCAGAUGAACCCGGUAGUGCGUUUUUAUUGGAAAGGAGAUUAGGAUUUGAGUUCAUCCUCAUAUAGGGUCGAAUUAUUUGGUUAAUGUGUUGAUAUAUAUUAUUUUCCAAUUCCUUGCAACAAAGGAAUAUUAUACACAUUAAAAGCUCGUGCAUUCAGUUAACAAGCAAUUCAAGCAAGUUCUCAUGAAUGAGUUUGAUUCCAUGCUCAUCCAAAAGAAUAUGAAGGCUGGAGUAGUUAGUCCGUUGCAGUCUUAUGUAUAACUUUAGUCCAGCCCUAGUUCAGAUAUAUUAAGGUAUUGAGUUAUAAUUAUACUUUUUAAGUUAGAGUUGACUUGAAAGUAUGAAAAAUUCGCGUGAGCCGUUAAGAAAAUAGUUAGAGUUAAGUUUGAAUAUUGCAGGAGUUGUAAUUUAAAUAAUUUGACUCCUUUUGUUUUAGUGAAAUUGGGGUUAAAUACUACCGGAUAGGUCAAGCUUUUGCACCUUUUGAGCCAGGUGAUUUUUCACCUAAAAAUAUCUAUGUUCUUUAAUUUUCCACACUUGAUUUUAUCACAUUUCACGACAUAAGCUAAAGAACCAGGUUUCUUUAGACAAAUUCUAGGGGCACUCAAUUUAACAAAUUCAAAAUGCAAUUGACUUUUCUUAAUCCACAUAAUCAUUUGUAUUUCGGGAAAUACACUAUUUUGGCAUUCGAAUAAAAUAAAACGCUCAUAUACAGUGUUUCAUAGGGCUGGAUCGUCAGGCAAGAUGUUUUACUUAAGGCACAAGCCCUGAAACAUGAUGCAUAAGGUGCAUUGAUCUUUAAAUUUUUUAACGUUAUAAUUUAAUAAAAUAUCACAAUAACAUAAAAAUUUUAAAAUUACAUUAAAAGUUUACAAAAGUAAAAAAAUUAAAGGAACUCAUAGAAAAUAAAAUAUCUAGCUUUGGGUGGUUAUGGCGAGGUGCAUGGCGGCUUCGGCUUUGGGGAUAGGAACGGAGGAGGAACUUCGCUUUUGGAUUUUGCUAAAGCAUUUGAGCUGGUGAUUGCGAACUCUAGCUUUCCGAAGAGAGAGGAGCAUUUGGUUAUGUUCCAAAGUACGGCGGUGAAGAGGCUCUUGGUGAUGGUUGUGUAAGGAUUGCAAGGUGAUUCCGGGGGAGAUCCUUGCGACGCAGCAUAGGCUCUUGGUGAUGGACGUUGUUAUCAUGAUAAAGAGGAAGAAGAGGUUUGUUCGAGGACGACCGAGGAUCAGGUGGGGAGCCUUGACAAAGGAUAAAGCUCAAGAGUUGGAGGGGAGUUUAUCGACUAUGGGAGCCUGAAGGAGUAGUGGGGACGCGACCGCUAUGUGGAAGACGACGGCGAACUGUAUAAGGGAUGUGGCAAGAGAGGUAUUAGGGGUCUCGAGAAGUUACUCUGGCGGGCACAAAUGUGACUUGUGGUGGAAUGAAGUGGUCCAAGGUAAAGUGGAAGCGAAAAAGGUUGCGUACCUGAAAUUAGUAGGGAGAACAUGCGAGGAGGAGAGGAGAGAAAACAGAGAGAGGUAUAAGGUAGCUAGGAAGGAGGCAAAGUUGGCAGUCACAGAGGCUAAGACUGUAGCGUUUGGUUGUCUGUACGAGGAAUUAGGGGACAAAGGCGAGGAUAAUAAGUUAUUUCGACUGGCCAAGGCGAGAGAGAAGAAUGCUCGGGAUCUGGACCAAGUGAGGUGCAUCAGAGAUGAGGAAGGUAGAGUAUUGAUAGGAGAGGCACAAAUUAAGCGGAGAUGGAAGACUUACUUUCAUAAACUUCUGAAUGAAGAAGAGGACAGGGAUAUUGUGCUAGGUGAAUUGGGGCAUUCAGAGAGUCACCGAAAGUUUGGUUACUGUAGACGCAUCAAGGUUGAGGAGGUAGUGGGGGUUAUAUGUAAGAUGAGUAGGGGCAGAGUAACCGUGCCAGAUGAAAUUACGGUAGAACUUUGGAAGUGUGUGGGUAGAUCAGGCUUGGAGUGGAUGACUAGGCUGUUUAAUAUUAUUUUCAGGGCGAAGAGGAUGUCGGAUGAGUGGAGAUGGAGUAUGGUGGUACCAUUGUACAAGAACAAAGGUGAUAUCCAGAGUUGCAAUAACUAGAGGGGUAUCAAGUUACUAAGUCAUACUAUGAAUAUUUAGGAGAGGGUAGUGAAAGUGAGGGUGAGAAGGACUGUGUCUAUAUCCGAUAACCAGUUCGAGUUCAUGCCCGUCCAUUCAACUAUGAAAGCUAUCCACCUUAUUAGGAGGUUGGUGGAACAAUACAGGGAUAUGAAGAAGAAUUUGCACAUGGUGUUUAUUGACCUGGAGAAAGCGUAUGACAAGGUGACUAGGGAGGUCCUUUGGAGAUUCCUGGAGUCAAAAGGUGUGCCGGUCUUUUACAUCAGGGCGAUUAAGGACAUGCAUUAUGGAGCUAAGACUCGGGUUAGGACAGUGUGAGGCGAUUCUUAGCAUUUUUCGGUUGUUAUGGGAUUGCACCAAGUAUCUGCACUCAACCCGUUCUUAUUUUCCCUAGUGAUGGAUGCACUGCCACACCAUAUAGGGGUGGCGUGGAUAAAAUAGAGGUUAACAUCUGGAGUUUUGUCGGGCAAGAAAGUGUCACUGAUGCUCAAAGGUAAGUUUUAUAGAGCGGUGGUUAGACCGGCCAUGUUGUAUGGGGUAGAGUGUUAGCCAGUUAAGAACUCACAUAUCCAGAAGGUGGAAGUAGCAGAAAUAAGGAUGUUGAGGUGGAUGUGCGGGCACACUAGGAUAGAUAAGAUUAAGAAUGAAGAUAUUCAGUAGAAGGUAGGCAUGACUCUUAUGGAUGAUAAGAUGCAAGAAGCAAGGCUCAGAUUGUUCGGGAACGUGCGGAGGAGAAGCCUAGAAGCUCCGGUAAGGAUGUGUGAGAAAUUGGCUUUUGGGUGGUACGAGAAUAGGUAGACGGCGACCUAAGAAGUAUUAGGGAGAGGUGAUCAGGCAGGACAUGGCGUGGCUUCAAAUUUUUAAGGACAUGGCCCUUGAUAGGAAGGUGUGCAGGUCGAGCAUUAGGGUUGUAGGUUAGGAGGUAGUUGAGCAUUUUUUUACAUCGUUCCGGGUGAGAGACUAGUCUGAUAGGGUUUUGUCUUAGACUGCUAGUGGUUAAUAUUGUGUUCAUAUUAUUCUUUCGUUUUUCAUAGUAUCGAGCCUUACCUACUUGUUAUUGUUAUUGCUUUUCAUCUGUUUUCUGGUCCUUAUGUUGCUGUUAUUAUUUCUGUGAUUUCUGUUGAUGGUACUGAUUAAUUGUCUUUGUUCGUCUUUCUGAGCCGAGGGUCUUUUGAAAAUAAUCUCUCUACUCCCUCAGGGUAGGGGUAAGGUGUGUGUACUCACUAGCCUCCCCAGACCCCACUUGUUGGAAUUACACUCGGUUGUUGUUGUUGUUGUUGUUGUUGUUGUUUCUUCUUACAAGUAUAAACAAUGCAAUGGAAUUAAAGUUAUUCCAAGAUACGAAAUCAACUACAAUAUCUUAUUUUCAAAUAAUUAAAAGAAAUCAUUUUUUUUAAAUGAUAUAAAACUAUCUAUUUUGCCUCAAAAAGUAAAUAAUCAAUAAACUUUAAGUACUAUAAUUUAAAAUAUUAUUUCAUGAUAAAUAAAUACAAAAUUUCUUUCAAAUAUCAAAGUAAUAAAAGUCUAAUAAUAGACGUAUAAACUAAGACAUUAAAAAUAAUAACAAGUGAAUAUAUAAAUUUCAUUUAUCUAUUUUCAAAAGAAAUACUCAAAUAAUAUGUGGCAUCAUGAUGUUCUCAAAUAUUAAAUUUCCAAAUACAUUGGCUGAUUAUUUGAGUUAAUCUCAAUCAUCAUAUAUGAGAAUGCAGUGUUAAUUAAAAAAUUCGACACAUGAUUUGCGUAAGAACGGUUAGGUGAGCCCCAAGCGUUGAGAUUUAGGCAUAUUUAGAAGGCACAAUCGGGCGCUUGGGGCAUAAGACUCACAAGUGAGACUUAGGGAGUUUUGUAGUGUCCCACUCAAGGGCGAGCCCUGAGCGAGUCGUAAAAAAGCCUUUUAAAACACUACUCAUAUAUGAGAAUUAUUUUAAACCCCGAGUUAUACUCAUAUAUUUAAGAUAAAAUUAUUUUACUAGCGCUUAUUUCGUAAUUUUAGUUGUUUAUUUUAACCUUGACUUCUUGACCUCAAACAAUAAUCGCUUUUCUAAAAAUUAAGCAACAACAAGCAAAAGGGAAUGCCAAAGGAAAAAUAAAGCAUUAGAAAAGGAGGACAUUAAGGAUCACACCACACAUAUUUGUAUUCACCUCCAAAGAAAUGGUAUUUCCCCCAUUUCACCCUACUCACCAUCACCACCGUAAUUGUUUUUCCAUUUUUGCUUUUCUUCCUCGGUGAUUUAGUACAUGUAGUAAGCAAAGAAGGACAAGAGUGUGGCUCCAAUCAAAGUUCCCACAGCGGGCAAAGCGACAGCAGCAUCGCUGGUCGGCGACGGAGCCGGGGCGUCACUUGGGCUCAUUUGAGCCAUGGCAGCGCUCAUGGAGGCUGCGGCAACUAGGGCGGCACAAGUGAUCUUCUUCAUCUCCGUAUCUAUCAGACGAGUUGAAAUAUAGGCAGGCGAAAAUUAACGUCUCAAAGGAAAGUUGAGAUGUAAUAGCCGAAUUUUCCUUUCCUGCCUU
rnacentral:lncRNA from 1 species